GGUUAGUUAGCAUAUUGGUAAUGUAUUGGUUUGCAAAACUUAAAAAUGUCUGUUCGAAUCAGGCACUAACCU
rnacentral:tRNA from 1 species